rnacentral:rRNA from 1 species
CAUCCCGCAAGGGGUGUGGCGGACUGCUGAGUAACACGUGGUCAACCUAACCUAGGGAAGGGAAUAACCCCGGGAAACUGGGGAUAAUUCCCUAUAGCUGAGGAGUCCUGGAACGGUUUCUCGGCGAAAGCCCGCAAGGGCGCCCUAGGAUGGGACUGCGGCCCAUCAGGUAGUUGGGGGGUUAAAGGCCCUCCAAGCCGAUAACGGGUAGGGGCCCUGGGAGGGGGAGCCCCCAGAUGGGCACUGAGACAAUGGCCCAGGUCCUACGGGGCGCACCAGGCGCGCAACGUCUUCAAUGCACGAAAGUGUGAAAGCGCUACCCCGAGUGCCCCUUUGGGGCUUUUCUACGCUCUAAAAAGGCGUGGGAAUAAGCGGAGGGCAAGACUGGUGUCAGCCGCCGCGGUAAUACCAGCUCCGCGAGUGAUCGGGACUCUUAUUGGGCCUAAAGCGCCCGUAGCCGGCUCUGUAAGUCACUGCUUAAAGACCCGAGCUCAACUCGGGGAAGGGUAGUGAUACUACAGAGCUAGGGGGCGGGAGAGGUCGGGGGUACUCCUAGAGUAGGGGCGAAAUCCGUAGAUCCUAGGAGGACCACCAGUGGCGGAGGCGCCCGGCUAGAACGCGCCCGACGGUGAGGGGCGAAAGCUGGGGUAGCAAAAGGGAUUAGAUACCCCUGUAGUCCCAGCUGUAAACGAUGCGGGCUAGGUGUCACGUGAGCUUAGAGCCCACGUGGUGCCGCAGGGAAGCCUUUAAGCCC